CUAGAAAUACCGGGAUCCCCAGCCCAGCACCUCACCGGCCUCCAGCCUCCCUCUCUGCUCCUCUGCUCUGCAGCCCUGCUGAGACCCCAGCCCCCUCCAGCCAUGAGGAUCCUCCACCUGGUGUUUGCUGUUCUCCUGCUGGUCUCCUUGGCUGCUCCAGGCCUAGGGCAGAAGAAGGGCUGUGCUGGUCGCUGCGACUGGAAAUGCGGCAAAUACGAGUAUGAGACCUACACGUACGACUGCCCCAAGUCCUACUGCUGCCUCCCCCUCAAAAAGUGGAAAUGAGCCCGGAGGGAUCCACCCGCCCUGGACCAGGAGCAGCCGCGGCAGCGGGUCCCCGACUCCCCACAGAAAUGUCGUUCCCUCCCCCCAUUAAACGAGAGCAGGCCUGGC